CAGAGACUGCAAGCGUUAUUCGGAUUCACUGGGCGUAAAGGGUGCGCAGGCGGUCGAGUGUGUCAGAUGUGAAAUCCCGAGGCUCAACCUCGGAACUGCGUCUGAAACUACUCGACUAGAGUACUGGAGAGGGAAACGGAAUUCACGGUGUAGCAGUGAAAUGCGUAGAUAUCGUGAGAAACACCAGAGGCGAAGGCGGUUUCCUGGACAGUUACUGACGCUCAGGCACGAAAGCAUGGGGAGCAAAAGGGAUUAGAUACCCCUGUAGUCCAUGCCCUAAACGGUGCACACUAGGUCUUAGCGGAUUCGACCCCACUAGGGCCCAAGCUAACGCGUUAAGUGUGCCGCCUGAGGACUACGGUCGCAAGACUA
rnacentral:rRNA from 1 species